rnacentral:lncRNA from 1 species
UGCGUCUAGCUCCGCCUCCUCGUCACAAUCCAGUCCCCAUCUCUCCCCUCGUGUCGCCUAACAAGCCGGUAAAACUGCUGGAUCCAUCUGUUGCGUACCCUUGCGGCAGCUAUGAAGCCUACCUAGAGGCGAAGAACAGGAGACAACACAAGAAGAAGGGAGACGAAUCUGAGUCCACGGACACCUCGUCCCUCGCUAGCCCGGAGGAACGAGAACGCAAGCAGCGACCACGCAGCUACUUCUACAAGGGUCUAAAGCUGCCCAGCGGUCGCCUGGUGGACAUCCGAUACCGGAACAAAUACAUCCGCAAAUGGGCGAGGAGGGAGGCCAGCGGUGACGCUUGCCUCAUCUGCUGUAUCCUCCUCUUGAUGCUCCUGCUGCUGGC